rnacentral:rRNA from 1 species
AGAGUUUGAUCCUGGCUCAGAUUGAACGCUGGCGGCAUGCUUUACACAUGCAAGUCGAACGGCAGCAUAGAGAGCUUGCUCUCUGAUGGCGAGUGGCGAACGGGUGAGUAAUACAUCGGAACGUGUCCGUUUGUGGGGGACAACCACCCGAAAGGGUGGCUAAUACCGCAUAAGACCUGAGGGUGAAAGCCGGGGACCGCAAGGCCUGGCGCGAACGGAGCGGCCGAUGACUGAUUAGCUGGUUGGCGGGGUAAAGGCCCACCAAGGCGACGAUCAGUAGCUGGUCUGAGAGGACGACCAGCCACACUGGAACUGAGACACGGUCCAGACUCCUACGGGAGGCAGCAGUGGGGAAUUUUGGACAAUGGGGGCAACCCUGAUCCAGCCAUGCCGCGUGCGGGAAGAAGGCCUUCGGGUUGUAAACCGCUUUUGUCAGGGACGAAAAGGUGCGGGUUAAGAGCUAGCACUGAUGACGGUACCUGAAGAAUAAGCACCGGCUAACUACGUGCCAGCAGCCGCGGUAAUACGUAGGGUGCGAGCGUUAAUCGGAAUUACUGGGCGUAAAGCGUGCGCAGGCGGUUGGGUAAGACAGAUGUGAAAUCCCCGGGCUUAACCUGGGAACUGCAUUUGUGACUGUCCGACUGGAGUAUGUCAGAGGGGGGUGGAAUUCCAAGUGUAGCAGUGAAAUGCGUAGAUAUUUGGAAGAACACCGAUGGCGAAGGCAGCCCCCUGGGGCAAAACUGACGCUCAUGCACGAAAGCGUGGGGAGCAAACAGGAUUAGAUACCCUGGUAGUCCACGCCCUAAACGAUGUCUACUGGUUGUUGGAGGGUAAAACCUUCAGUAACGAAGCUAACGCGUGAAGUAGACCGCCUGGGGAGUACGGUCGCAAGAUUAAAACUCAAAGGAAUUGACGGGGACCCGCACAAGCGGUGGAU